rnacentral:tRNA from 1 species
GCGGCGGUGGUGGAACGGUAGACACGAUGCCCUCAAAAGGCAUUGUCCUUCGGGACGUGUGGGUUCGAAUCCCACCCGCCGUA